rnacentral:rRNA from 1 species
GUGGCUAAUACCGCAUAACGUCGCAAGACCAAAGAGGGGGACCUUCGGGCCUCUUGCCAUCAGAUGUGCCCAGAUGGGAUUAGCUUGUUGGUGAGGUAACGGCUCACCAAGGCGACGAUCCCUAGCUGGUCUGAGAGGAUGACCAGCCACACUGGAACUGAGACACGGUCCAGACUCCUACGGGAGGCAGCAGUGGGGAAUAUUGCACAAUGGGCGCAAGCCUGAUGCAGCCAUGCCGCGUGUAUGAAGAAGGCCUUCGGGUUGUAAAGUACUUUCAGCGGGGAGGAAGGUGUUGUGGUUAAUAACCGCAGCAAUUGACGUUACCCGCAGAAGAAGCACCGGCUAACUCCGUGCCAGCAGCCGCGGUAAUACGGAGGGUGCAAGCGUUAAUCGGAAUUACUGGGCGUAAAGCGCACGCAGGCGGUCUGUCAAGUCGGAUGUGAAAUCCCCGGGCUCAACCUGGGAACUGCAUUCGAAACUGGCAGGCUUGAGUCUUGUAGAGGGGGGUAGAAUUCCAGGUGUAGCGGUGAAAUGCGUAGAGAUCUGGAGGAAUACCGGUGGCGAAGGCGGCCCCCUGGACAAAGACUGACGCUCAGGUGCGAAAGCGUGGGGAGCAAACAGGAUUAGAUACCCUGGUAGUCCACGCCGUAAACGAUGUCUACUUGGAGGUUGUGCCCUUGAGGCGUGGCUUCCGGAGCUAACGCGUUAAGUAGACCGCCUGGGGAGUACGGCCGCAAGGUUAAAACUCAAAUGAAUUGACGGGGGCCCGCACAAGCGGUGGAGCAUGUGGUUUAAUUCGAUGCAACGCGAAGAACCUUACCUGGUCUUGACAUCCACAGAACUUUCCAGAGAUGGAUUGGUGCCUUCGGGAACUGUGAGACAGGUGCUGCAUGGCUGUCGUCAGCUCGUGUUGUGAAAUGUUGGGUUAAGUCCCGCAACGAGCGCAACCCUUAUCCUUUGUUGCCAGCGGUCCGGCCGGGAACUCAAAGGAGACUGCCAGUGAUAAACUGGAGGAAGGUGGGGAUGACGUCAAGUCAUCAUGGCCCUUACGACCAGGGCUACACACGUGCUACAAUGGCGCAUACAAAGAGAAGCGACCUCGCGAGAGCAAGCGGACCUCAUAAAGUGCGUCGUAGUCCGGAUUGGAGUCUGCAACUCGACUCCAUGAAGUCGGAAUCGCUAGUAAUCGUGGAUCAGAAUGCCACGGUGAAUACGUUCCCGGGCCUUGUACACACCGCCCGUCACACCAUGGGAGUGGGUUGCAAAAGAAGUAGGUAGCUUAACCUUCGGGAGGGCGCUUACCACUUUGUGAUUCAUGACUGGGGUGAAGUCGUAACAAGGUAACCGUAGGGGAACCUGCGGUUGGA